rnacentral:rRNA from 1 species
AGAAUCAACGCUGGCGGCGUGCCUAACGCAUGCAAGUCGAACGAGAAAGUGGUAGCAAUACCAUGAGUAAAGUGGCGCACGGGUGAGUAACACGUGACUAACCUACCCUUGAGUGGGGGAUAACUGAGGGAAACCUUAGCUAAUACCGCAUAAUACCCACGGGUCAAAGGAGCAAUUCGCUCGAGGAGGGGGUCGCGGCCGAUUAGUUAGUUGGCAGGGUAAUGGCCUACCAAGACGAUGAUCGGUA